rnacentral:rRNA from 1 species
AGCGAACGUUUGCGGCGGGCCUAACACAUGCAAGUCGAACGCACUAGCAAUAGUGAGUGGCGCACGGGUGCGUAACACGUGGGUAAUCAACCCUUCAGCCUGGGAUAACGACUCGAAAGGGUCGCUAAUACCGGAUACGGCGCGAGAGGCUUCGGCUUCUCACGAGAAAGCCACGCAAGGGGCACUGAAGGACGAGCCUGCGGCCCAUCAGCUAGUUGGUGAGGUAAGAGCUCACCAAGGCUAAGACGGGUAGCUGGUCUGAGAGGAUGAUCAGCCACACUGGAACUGAGACACGGUCCAGACUCCUACGGGAGGCAGCAGUGGGGAAUAUUGCGCAAUGGGCGAAAGCCUGACGCAGCCACGCCGCGUGAGCGAUGAAGGCCUCGGUCGUAAGACUCUGUGGGAGGAGACGAAGAAAGACCU